rnacentral:rRNA from 1 species
AUACGUAGGGGGCGAGCGUUGUCCGGAAUGAUUGGGCGUAAAGGGCGCGUAGGCGGCGCGGUAAGUCUGGAGUGAAAGUCCUGCUUUCAAGAUGGGAAUUGCUUUGGAUACUGCCGCGCUUGAGUGCAGGAGAGGUUAUCGGAAUUCCCGGUGUAGCGGUGAAAUGCGUAGAGAUCGGGAGGAACACCAGUGGCGAAGGCGGUUAACUGGACUGUAACUGACGCUGAGGCGCGAAAGUGUGGGGAGCAAACAGGAUUAGAUACCCUGGUAGUCCACACUGUAAACGAUGAAUGCUAGGUGUAAGAGGUAUCGACCCCUUUUGUGCCGCAGUCAACACAAUAAGCAUUCCGCCUGGGGAGUACGGCCGCAAGGUUGAAACUCAAAGGAAUUGACGGGG